rnacentral:tmRNA from 1 species
GGGGGCGAAAGGCUUCGACGGAGAAUACGAGGCCUGGAUUGCGUGCCGAGGUCCCACUGGCUCGUAAAACAAGUGGGAAACAACAACUGCCGACAAUGAGUUGGCUCUAGCUGCCUAAAUAACGGGUAGCUCGUCCCCAGCCUCUUCGCUCGCCGGGGGGCUGGUCGGACGCCAUGCAGGCGGGCUAGCUGCUGCGGCGCCCGGAAGCAGCGGCGAAACCUAACGGGCUGGCGCUGCGAUCAUCCUGCCUGGCGGAGGUUCGCAGGGCGAGAUAAAAAGACAGGCUACGCACGUAGAUGUCCUGGCUGAGGUUCUUUCGGACGCGGGUUCGAUUCCCGCCGCCUCCACAG